UACGAAGGGGGCUAGCGUUGCUCGGAAUCACUGGGCGUAAAGGGUGCGUAGGCGGGUUUUUAAGUCAGGGGUGAAAUCCUGGAGCUCAACUCCAGAACUGCCUUUGAUACUGAAGAUCUUGAGUCUGGGAGAGGUGAGUGGAACUGCGAGUGUAGAGGUGAAAUUCGUAGAUAUUCGCAAGAACACCAGUGGCGAAGGCGGCUCACUGGCCCGGUACUGACGCUGAGGCACGAAAGCGUGGGGAGCAAACAGG
rnacentral:rRNA from 1 species